UGCCAGCUGCCGCGGUAAUACGGAGGGGGUUAGCGUUGUUCGGAAUUACUGGGCGUAAAGCGUACGUAGGCGGAUUGAUCAGUUGGAGCAAGAAAUAAAAGAGCUUAACUCUUUUGAUUCUCCAAUACUGUCAUUCUUGAGUUUAUCAGAGUUUAGUAGAACUUACGGAGUAGGGAUAAAAUCCAUUAAUAUCGUAGGGAACACCGGUGGCGAAGGCGACUAUUCAUGAUAAGACUGACGCUGUAAGACGAAGGCGUGGGUAGCGAAUGGGAUUAGAUA
rnacentral:rRNA from 1 species